UACGAAGGGGGCGAGCGUUGUUCGGAAUUACUGGGCGUAAAGCGCACGUAGGCGGCUUUGUAAGUCAGAGGUGAAAGCCUGGAGCUCAACUCCAGAACUGCCUUUGAGACUGCAUCGCUUGAAUCCAGGAGAGGUGAGUGGAAUUCCGGGUGUAGCGGUGGAAUGCGUAAAGAUCCGGAAGAACACCGGUGGCGAAGGCGGUUAGCUGGGCAGUUGCUGACACUGAGGCGCGACAGCGUGGGGAGCAAACAGGG
rnacentral:rRNA from 1 species